UGGGGAAUAUUGGACAAUGGGCGCAAGCCUGAUCCAGCCAUGCCGCGUGUGUGAAGAAGGUCUUCGGAUUGUAAAGCACUUUAAGUUGUGAAGAAGGAUGGAAGUAACGACUCCAUUUUGACAUUAGCAACAGAAUAAGCACCGGCUAACUUCGUGCCAGCAGCCGCGGUAAUACGAAGGGUGCAAGCGUUAAUCGGAAUAACUGGGCGUAAAGCGCGCGUAGGUGGUUAAUCAAGUUGGAUGUGAAAUCCCCGGGCUCAACCUGGGAACUGCAUCCAAAACUGAUUGACUAGAGUAUGGUAGAGGUUAGUGGAAUUUCCUGUGUAGCGGUGAAAUGCGUAGAUAUAGGAAGGAACACCAGUGGCGAAGGCGACUAACUGGACUGAUACUGACACUGAGGUGCGAAAGCGUGGGUAGCAAACA
rnacentral:rRNA from 1 species